AUGCUUUUGAGGAAAUGCUCAGCCUUAUUCAUAAGGCGAUAAUUACAAUUUUAAAAUACAAUUGAGAUUCCAUUUUUCUCCUAUCAGACUGGCAGAAAUCCAAAGGUUUGAUAACAUUCUCUAAGCAGCACCAUGGAAAAGCAGGUACAUGUACUGUUGCUGGAGGAGGAGAGUUCCCUCUGCAUAAUCCCCACGGAGGACAACAUGGCAACAUCUACCCAAAUUACAAAACACCGGUGUUGGGCAGAAUUCUGAGGUGACCCUCACUGGCCUUCACUCUUCUGUGGUCCCCUGCCCUUGUAUGAGUGUAGGGCCUGUGAAUAAGAUGAGCAUGUGAACCAAAUGAUUGUAUUCCAUUAUAUGACAAAAGGGAUUUUGCAGAUUAACUGAGGUUCCAAGUCAGUUAACCUAAUGUUAGGGAGAUCACCCUUGUUGGACGGAUCUGACUGGGUGAGCCCUUGGAAAAUGGCAAGCUUUCUCUGGCAAGAGAAAUUCAUCAGAGAUUUGAAGCAUGAGAAAGAUCUGUUCGGCCAUUCCUGGCUUGAUGUUGGAGGGAGCUGCAUGGUGAGGACUGUGGGUGUCCUCCGGGAGCCCAGGGAGGCCCCUCCUGGAAGCCUGCAAGAAACCAGAGACUCAGUUCUACAACCACAAGGAUCCAGAUUCUGCCAACAACAAGAAUGGCCUUGGAAGUAGAUUUUCCCCCCAGAGCUUCCAAAAAAGAACCAAGCCUGGCCGCCACCUUGGUUUCACCCUGAACUCAGCACCCAGUUCAGCUACUCAGGAGGCGGAGGCAAAGGAUCGCUUGAACCCAGAGGCAGAGGUUGCAGUGAGCCGAGAUUGCACCAUUGUACUACAGCCUGGGCAACAGAGCGAGACCCUGUCUCAAAGAAGAAAAAGAAAGAAAAAAAAUCAUUAUUUUUGUACCUGCAGAAAGAAACUGUGAAAGAAUACAUGAGAUACUAAUAAAAAGUGGUGACUAAUGAACUAAAAAUUAACUAAAACUGGAUGUUUUUGAAUAGGUCAACAGGACACUGUCCUCCCCACUUCUUCCCAGGCCUGAGCCCGUUCCCUUACCCUCUCUCCAUGGGUUAAUUCUAGGGUACAUUCCGCAUGGAAUCCUUGACCACUGGCUUCCCCCCACCUUGCUUCCUCUGCUGCCCUAGGGGAACUGGAAAAGAGUGUUCAGAUAGCUGUGUCUGAGUGAGUCUUCUCUCUGGGAUUCAGUUUUGCCGCCUGUGAAAUGGGGAUGAUAAUACCACAUAGGGUUGUUAGGGAGUUAAAUGAGAUAACCCAUGUCAAGUGCCAGCCCAGAGAAGGUGCCCAGCCCGUAGUAGAUGCUCACAGCAUUUGUGCUGCUGGAUGUGGGAAAGCCCAUUCCACCAGGAGGGAGUUUAUCAAGCACAAGUAGCUGGAUAAUCAAUGGUAGUGAUAGCUCCCUUUGCCACCCACUCAUCACUGCGGCCGAUUACUCCCCCUUGGUGUCUCCAUUCCUUCAGUUGCAGAGAGUUGGACCAAAUGAGCUCUCUCUCACUACAUGAUUUAAAACCUGCAGUGACCAGGGACGAUACCUUCUCAUUCCGUAUAUGGGUUAGCGAAGCCCAGACAGGGUGGUGACUUGCUCAAGGUCACAUGGCGUGUCAGAGGCAGAGGCAGAGCCAGGACUGGCACUGAGGGCCCCUGACUCCCUGCCAGGCCCUUGACCUGCAUGCCUCUCUCUGCCCACGUGCAUUUGUGUCAAAGUAGCCAUGUGGUGACACAGGGGAAACUCUGUCCCUCCCCUGGGACUCUACUUAUCUUCCCAGGUUCCGAUUGUUAUUACGGAGGGGCUGCUCCCCACCCGGCCAGGUGUCUUCUGGCCCCUCUGCAGGUCUGCUCCUGCCAGGAAACAUAGAGUGACACAAACGCAUUAUUGGUGCUCUGUGAAGCAGGCACCCCAGAGGACGGGGUGGAGCCAGGGAACAGCCUGGGACUUCCAAGUGCCCACAAGUUGGGGCUCUUGUGUCCACUGGUGCAAGCUGCCCCCCACAACAGCCUCUGACUUCUAACCGGUCACCUGCAGCUCCCACCUCCCUACCAGCCUCCUGCUCACUGAGCUCCUGCCUUUGAGGGAGUUAAUUCCCCUCCAUGGGCCAGAGAGAGGGGCCUUGAGCUCUGAUAGCCUUCCAGACACUAACUGGCUCCAGCUGACCUUCCUACCCAUGAGUUUCACGAGUGCCUCAGGAUCCUGAACCACAGAUCCCGUCUCUUGUUUAGUUAGUGUGAGUGAAAUUGGUUUCUGAUAUUUGAGCCUUGACCUGCCGUAAAGAAUCUGAGCGCGUUUCCGACAGGGAAAUGUCUGCAUGUCUUAGGUGGGGACAUCGGCGGCCCCCUGCCUGUCCAUUAUGCUCGUUCUGGUGGGGACAUUGGCGGCCCUCUGCUUGUCCAUUAUGCUCAUUCUUGGGAGAUGUGGGACUGUUUGUUACUAUUCAAUCUGAUGUACAGAGGGGGCGGAGAGAGACCCCUCAAAUGUGCAGGCGUGCGUGUAGAGAUUCCAGACUGACUAUUCUAAUCCUGUUUUGACUGAUUUAAUCUGGUUUUAGUACAGCUUGGCCCAAAAGGCUUGAGCCAGUUUACACUGGUCUCAGCUAGUUUUAACUGGUGGGCUCCAUUUGAACAUAUCUGAGUCUACUUGAGUAUUCUGAAUUCAUCUGUGUCUGUUUUGAUUUGGGUUAGCUUAAUAAUGGCAGACACUUAUUUUGUAUUUGUGGUAUGUCAGUAUUGUCAAUUCCAAGUGCCUUACAUAUAUGAAUUCAUAUCAUCUUCAC
rnacentral:lncRNA from 1 species